CAGUCGCCGCGGUAACACGGAGGGAGCUAGCGUUGUUCGGAAUUACUGGGCGUAAAGCGCGCGUAGGCGGUUACUCAAGUCAGAGGUGAAAGCCCGGGGCUCAACCCCGGAACUGCCUUUGAAACUAGGUGACUAGAAUCUUGGAGAGGUCAGUGGAAUUCCGAGUGUAGAGGUGAAAUUCGUAGAUAUUCGGAAGAACACCAGUGGCGAAGGCGACUGACUGGACAAGUAUUGACGCUGAGGUGCGAAAGCGUGGGGAGCAAACAGGAUUAGAUACCCCGGUAGUCCCUGUCUCUUAUAA
rnacentral:rRNA from 1 species